UCUGAAGAGAGGAGAAACAAGGUCUUCUCUUAAUAUUAGGCUCUUAAAUCCUUUUAGUGUAUAGCAUAGAGGACCUGUCCCUCCAGGAUACUUUACUAUGGGGCUAAAGUCUCAAUUACAGAUUUAUGGUUUCGUUAGGCUUUCUCAAUUUUAUCAUAGUUACAGGAUUAUCAUUGUCAGGUUGCUCUCUGAACACCAAAUGAAAACACAUCUUUUUUUUUUUUUUUUUAAGACGGAGUUUCUCUCUUUCAUCAGGCUGGUGUGCAGUGGUGUGAUCUCAGCUCACUGCAACCUCUGCUUUCUGGGUUCAAGUGAUUCUCCUACCUCACGCUUCCAAGUAGCUGGGACUACAGAGUUUCACUCUUUUUGCCCAGGCUGGAGUGCAUUGGUGUGAUCUUGGCUCAUCCUGCAACCUCCACCUCCAGGUUCAAGCUAUUCUCCAGCCUCAGCCUCCCAAGUAGCUGGGAUUACAGGCACGUACCACCAUGCUGGCUAAUUUUGUAUUUUCAGUAGAGAUGGAGUUUCACUAUGUUGCUCAGGCUGGUCUCAAACUCCCGACCUCAGCUGAUCUACCCAACUCGGCCUCCCAAAGUGCUAGGAUUACAGGCAUGAAUUACUGCGCCCAGCGAACCUGAUUUUUAAGAGAGUAAACUGAACCUUGAGGUUUUAAAUUUCCUAUAGAUUCAGUUCAACUUGAACUUACAGUGCUUCAAAUAAUGGAAAAAUUAGGACAUUUAUCUUUGGUAAACUUUUUUUCUCAUUCUUCCUACAAUUUUGAAAGCAUAUUCUUAGUACAGAACCCAGACCAUUCCAUACUCAUUAAUUUGUUUAUUCAGCAGACAUUUAGUAAGCAUCUCCUCUGUGCUAGGUUCUGGGAAUAAAAUGAAUGAAAUAUGCACGCUUCCAUGGCAUGAAUGCUUUGCUUACCUUGCCAGUGAUGCUUGUAGUCACAGGUGCGGGACAGUGCAAUCACAGCUGCAAAAAGUAGAGGUGACAGAAAGGCACAGAACCUCCAAGAUUUCCCACGGCCUUGUGGUGUGAAGCAGUGUAACUUCCCUGCCAGGUAGAAGGAAGCAAAGGCCAGACCAGCAAAUGCAACUAGAAUAAGAAAAACUUUUAAGUGUGUAUCUUUUAAAGGAAGCUACCUCAUUCAUCUCCACAUAGGAGGCUAGGGAGCAUGAGCAUAUUUUUAUUUUUAGAGACAGAGUCUUGCUCUGUCACCCAGGUUGCAGUGCAGUAGAACCAUCUCAGCUCACUGCAUCCUCCAUCAUCUGGGCUCAAGCGAUUCUCCUGCCUCAGCCUCCUGAGUAGCUGGGACUACAGGUGCCCACCACCAAGCCUAAUUUUUUGUUUUUAGUAGAGAUGAGGUUUCACUGUGUUAUCCAGGAUGGUCUUGAUCUCCUGACCUCAUGAUCCACCCGCCUCAGCCUCCCAAAGUGCUGGGAUUACAGGCAUGAGUCACUGUGCCCGGCCUAAUUUUUAUACUUUUAGUAGAGACAGAAUUUCACCAUGUUGGCCAGGCUGGUCUUGAACUCCUGGCCUCAAGUGAUCUGCAUGCCUUGGCCUCCCAAUUGCUGGGAUUACAGGCCUGAGCCACUACGUCUGGCCAUGAGCAUGUUUUAAUCCUUUUUUGUGUAUAUGUCUAGUGUAAAUCAUUGUGAAGGAAAAGGAAACAAAAAGAAAAAUAAAGGAUUCAGUGUGCCGAAGUUAAUGUUUUAUCUGAGAAUAGUUUUUGGAAUACUGGCUAUCUGAAUUAACUUGUUGAUGCCUUAGUUUCCUCAUUUAUAAUAGUCAAGGCUCAGACUUUAUGUUAAACUGUGGAGUUACUAAAGAAGGGAGAUUUUCCAAAUUCUAGAAACAACAAGAGUAGUCAGAUUUUCCAAUCCCUACUAACGUUCUAAGUUAAAUUCAGUGACGUGAAAACAAGCAUAGGGGUAGAGUGCAUAUGAUGGUCAUACAGGAAGAAUGUCCACUAGGGAAGCUCUUUCGGCCCUCAUUCACCACGUCCUUAUCCCCUGUACACAUCAAGUCAGAAUGGGCUAGCCCAUCAGGGAAGCAGCGGUAGAAGAAAUCUGGGCGUGGCCUGGAAGAAAGAAGCAUGGUUGGAAUGUAAAUCACUAACUCCAGAAAUUAUUUUUCAGUUGUAGCAGACAUUAAUAAUCCUGUGAAUUACUGGUCAAAUAAUGCCCCAGCCAAAAUAAGGUAACUGGAUUAGUAUAGUCACCGCUGAGAGAAAAGCCUUGCUUCCAAGGUCAGCAGUUAAGUCAGGAGAAUAAGCCCCACUCCAGCCCAUGAUUACUUUUUAGGGCAAACAGCCAAUGACACUGCAGCUUCAGGAGAUGCUCAAGAGGUCACUGACCCACUCUGCUGUGGCUGUUGGGAAAUGCUGUUCAGGGCAGAAAAGAGCCCAAGUGUCACCUCGAGGACUGAGGUACUGGGAAGGGAGUAAGCAUUGAAUGAGAAAAGAAAGCAGAGUGAAGAUAAAGGGGAAAAGGAUAAAGACAGACUUGUGGUGGACACCAUUACCUCUCUGUCCUGGUGGGUAACGGCUGAGGCAGAUGCUGGGGUGGUUGGCUCUUGUCACUUACCUCCCUACGAUCAGUUUUAUUGUGUUGGUAAAGACGCCAUUCAGAGCCAGGGCAAGGCUGGCUGCUGCAAAGCAAAGCAACUAGUUAGUGGGGUCUGUCUAGGAAGAAAGGCAUGGUCAUGGCCUCAUUGAGCGAGCAGCCAUGCUGUUUCUGAGAUGGACAGAAUCCAGGCCUGGGCACAAAAUUAAUUAUGGUCCUCAGUGAUCACUCUGUUGUAGCGGAGAACUUCUAUACUAGGCCAAAGACAUUUCUGAGGUACAAAUAACCCAGUGCAUUAGGCACAGGGAUGCCUGCGGUGUAGCCUGCGUAGCCAAGUCCCUGCAGUGCUAUUUGCUUCUCCUGCGGGGAUAGAGUUCCUUUAGGAAUUCAGAACUGUGUGGUCUCCACACAGGCUUCCGGUGGCUGAACCCCACAAAGACUUCUUAGGUUUCCAGCACGAAGAAACCGGCUGCAAAGGGCUGGUGCUCACCCAGGCAGGCUUGUCUGCUGUCUCUUGUGUCUGCCUUCUUGAGAAAUUUGGCCAGGAAGAUCAGAGACAGUGGAGAGAGAAAUGCAAUAACCUGAAUUGGAAUGUCAGAGGUUAAAAAAAUCCAAAAAAAGCCACACUCGUGUUUAAAGCAGCUCCUACAGGGAAAAGGGAUGGACAUGACACAGCAGGACUCACUAGUGCUAACACAAGGUCUCUGAGUAUGCUUCCUCUGGGGGGUAGCUGGGCGCCAGGCAGCACCACCAGUGCAGUGCCCGUGGUGCUCGGCCCGGUACCUCAGGCUGAGGCGGAACCCGGCGCACAGCAGCGGAGGGGGCAGUGGGUCGCUACACAGGCCGCCUCGGGGUGGAUAAAGGACAUGUGCCCGUGGGAAGCCCGGUCACGGGGAGGGAGGAGGGUCGAUUUUUGUCCACGCACAAACAUCGGCUUGGUGGGGAAAUACUCCGCCUCCACGUAGGGGUUCCGAUAAAGCCACAUCUCCUCCGGCUGGAUAAGCCUCUGGAACGGGGGGAGCAGCUCCGUCACCCUAGAGAACAAAGAAGCGCAGAGCAGGUCGUCUGGUUUCCCUUCCGCUGUCCGGCCCACCGCCCUCUGCCGCCUGCCCGCCUGGGAAGCGGGGCUGCUCGGGCCCGGCUGCGGAUCUUACAGGAAGGCCGAAAACAGCGCGAGCCGCACCCCCACUUCGGCCCCAAAGGCCGCUGCCGCCUUCCCCAUCCGGCCGCGAGACCCUGACGACGUCGCGCUGGCGUGGCCGCCUCCGCGGGGAGGACCGGGCGGGGAACCACGCACCACCCCCUUUUCCCGGCCGCCCGCGCUCUGGCGGCUCCCAGGAAGCCGGACUGGCGGCUGUGCAGUGGGCAUCGGCUGGCAAAGGGGACGUAAGGCCAACGGACCUGCCCUCCAGUGCAUUCAGCAGGGAGCCAGCGUUCCAGUUGCAGCCAUGAUGAGCAGCUCCUCUCCACACCACCGCGGGGAGCAGCCUUCCCCCGGGCUUUCGCCUCUAAAUGUAAAACCCUACAGCCUCGUUCCUUAGCAACACAGCGGCAUUCUGCAGGAAGCUAUACUGACUGAGUGAGGUUGGCUAGAUUGUGUCAUUUACUCUUCCCACCCAGGAUGGCCUCCUGUCCCGUGAGUUGUAGCAAAACUAUCUGGCAAAGAACAAGCCCACAUUUAAUUUGGAACAUACAGGACAAUUUAUUGAAGUCAAUCUCAAGCAAAAUCCGAAAUCAGUGGAAUGUCAUUAAAAACCUUUCCAAAUUAAUCCUCAUGGAAGGAAAAAAAAAAAACACAUUGGAAUUCCAAAGUAUUUGUAAAAUAAAAAAGGCAACAUCUCAGUAAAUAUAAUGUACAAAAAUUAUAUGUUCCUACCAGCACACACAUCAGUAAGAAGCUUAAAUAUUACAGGCAAUCCUAAAUACACUGUAACUAGUCAACAAUAAGCUAUCUAUAUACAGGUUAACCAAGCUUUACACAUUUCACACUAUGCAAUAAAACAUAGGCCAAUCAACAAAAUCCUCAAAAUAUCAUAUAUCUUGAAGUCUAUGUGGCAACAUCAAGGCAUUAUACAGUAAUGCCCUAGUGGAACACCCCAGGGAAAAUUAACACUAAUCCCUUAGUGUCAAGAGCAUCUAGCCAAGUCACAGAAACUCAAAAGAGAUUGACUUUAGUGAAUAUUGAUGCUUUGUUAUUAAAGACUCAAGUCUCAAGUGAUUUAGGCAAAAUAACGGUUCACAGGAUCUACAAAGUUUAUUACAGAUAAAGUACAGAAAUAAUCUACAAAGAUUAUCAUAAAGAACACGAGAAAAUGAAAACAGUCUGUAGGUAUCUGUGUGUGUUGUGCAAUAUCACUCAAAUGGGUACAAAUGAAUUUCUCAUCAUUUCCAAAUAUACACACACCCUUGUAUAUAAAAAAUGAUACUAGCCAGUUGUAAUACUCAUUUAGCAUCUUAUUAGUGGCAAUAUAAUUUUCUUAACAUAGGGUAUGUAACAGGACAAAUGAGAUAAAAUAAUGACAACAAAGUUUUAUCCAGUCCAUUUCUAAACUGACAAGAAUACCUUAUCAAUACCUUAUAUAGGUAAUCUGACAGAUACUUGAGGGCUAUUUGCACAUAUCAACUGUGUUGGCAGGCAGGGAAGGGAGCAGUAAAAGCUGAGGGUGCUUUCUCAGUAACUAGCAGAUGCAAUAAUGCCACAUAAGAAAACUAAGGACUGAAAAAAGGACUUUGGCAUCUGUUCUAUUUUCCCUUUUUACUUACACAUAAAUUACUUUUACAGCCUACUGAAGGACAGGUAACUCUCAUCCCCCCCUUCAUACAUACGUGCCACAAGCACCCACACUUGUCACUUAUGCAAUGGACUGACCAAAACAAAACAAAAAACAGAAAUGGUUUUUGAAAGACACAGAUUACCCACAUUUGGGGAGUGUGACAUUAAGUGCAAUUUUUAAUUUUUUUCUCUACAUAGACAUAGUAAAAGGAAAGAAGAUGUGCUUGGGGACAGGGUGACAAAAUGACAAAAUAACAUACAUAGGAAAUAUUCGUAAAAAUGCUGGUAUCUCAUGCAGGAGUCUCUUCCUCAAGUGUGUUCAAUCAAUCUGAGCUAUCUACUGUGAACACGCUCCCAUUUGCAGAACUUCGCCUUUAAUCCACACUAAAGAGGAUAAGAGACUAGGCGAUUUAUUUUCAGAACAGUUUACAAAACAAUGCUUUCUACUUCAUAAAUUUAAAAAGAAACUGUAAAAUAAGGAGAAUCUGAAGAGUUUCAAGUACUUAAAAAACCUGAAUUCAAUGAGGCAGAGGUCUCAAUGUUAAAGUGACUACUUCGUACCUGUGGUAAACAUUAUGAUCC